rnacentral:rRNA from 1 species
CCUACGGGCGGCAGCAGUGAGGAAUAUUGGUCAAUGGACGAGAGUCUGAACCAGCCAAGUAGCGUGAAGGAUGACUGCCCUAUGGGUUGUAAACUUCUUUUAUAAAGGAAUAAAACGAGGCACGUGUGCCUUUUUGCAUGUACUUUAUGAAUAAGGAUCGGCUAACUCCGUGCCAGCAGCCGCGGUAAUACGGAGGAUCCGAGCGUUAUCCGGAUUUAGUGGGUUUACAGGGAGCGUAGAUGGGUUGUUAAGUCAGUUGUGAAAGUUUGCGGCUCAACCGUAAAAUUGCCAUUGAUACUGGCAGUCUUUAGUACAGUUGAGGUAGGCGGCCUUCGUGUUGUAGCGGU